rnacentral:rRNA from 1 species
AUUGAACGCUGGCGGAAUGCUUUACACAUGCAAGUCGAGCGGCAGCGCGGGGGCAACCCUGGCGGCGAGCGGCGAACGGGUGAGUAAUACAUCGGAACGCACCCUGGUGUGGGGGAUAGCCCGGCGAAAGCCGGAUUAAUACCGCAUACGACCUGAGGGGGCAAGAGGGGGAUUCGCACGAACCUCGCGUACUUGGCGCGGCCGAUGUCGGAUUAGCGAGUUGGUGGGGUAAAGGCCCACCAAGGCGACGAUCCGGCGCGGGUCUGAGAGGACGGCCCGCAACACUGGAACUGAGACACGGUCCAGACUCCUACGGGAGGCAGCAGUGGGGAAUCUUGGACAAUGGGGGCAACCCUGAUCCAGCCAUUCCGCGUGAGUGAAGAAGGCCUUCGGGUUGUAAAGCUCUUUCGGCAGGAACGAAACGGUACGGGCUAAUACCUCGUGCUAAUGACGGUACCUGAAGAAGAAGCACCGGCUAACUACGUGCCAGCAGCCGCGGUAA